rnacentral:sRNA from 1 species
GUCAGCUCUAAUAGUGAGCUAUUGAUAACAUAUUUAGUUCAAGAUUUUCUCAGUUUUACGAUUAAUUUCGUCAUGUCUAUCCUGCGAUACCUUUUUCUUCAUUCCUUAUUUAGUAGCUUUCUUUUUAAUUCAAUCAAUGUAUCGAGAUAUAUAUGUCAAAUAAAACAACUGGCUCAGUAAAAUGGUUUAAUGAAACAAAAGGUUUUGGAUUUAUCACUCCUGAUAACGGUGGUGAAGACCUAUUUGUUCACUUUAGAUCAAUUGCUAGCGAAGGUUUUAAAACAUUAGCUGAAGGCCAAAAAGUGUCUUUCAAUGUUGAACAAGGUAACAAAGGCCCACAAGCAGGCAACGUUACGUUAGCAUAAGUUUCUUUAAAAAGGUCUCACCUAUUUGGCGAGACCUUUUUA